rnacentral:rRNA from 1 species
GACGAACGCUGGCGGCAUGCCUAAUACAUGCAAGUCGAGCGAACAGAUGAAGUGCUUGCACUUCUGACGUUAGCGGCGAACGGGUGAGUAACACGUAAGGAAUCUACCUAUAAGCGGGGGAUAACAUUCGGAAACGGGUGCUAAUACCGCAUAAUAUCUUCUUCCGCAUGGAAGAAGAUUGAAAGACGGCUCUGCUGUCACUUAUAGAUGACCUUGCGGUGCAUUAGUUAGUUGGUGGGGUAAUGGCCUACCAAGACGAUGAUGCAUAGCCGACCUGAGAGGGUGAUCGGCCACAUUGGGACUGAGACAUGGCCCAAACUCCUACGGGAGGCAGCAGUAGGGAAUCUUCCGCAAUGGGCGAAAGCCUGACGGAGCAAUGCCGCGUGAGUGAAGGAGGCCUUCGGGUCGUAAAACUCUGUUAUAAGAGAAGAACAAAUUGUAGAGUAACUGCUACAGUCUUGACGGUAUCUUAUCAGAAAGCCACGGCUAACUACGUGCCAGCAGCCGCCGUAA